UGAAAUAAUUCUCAAUUUUUUAUUAACAGAACAAACGAUUAUGACAUACAUUAGAUAUUAAGGGCAUUAACUUGUCUAACCAAUAGGUAGGGUAGCUUAAUUACAUUCCUCUGUACUUCCAAAAUACUAAGAAAAUAAAAAAACUUGCUAAGAGAUUUGAUGUCUCUGAUAAGAGUUGCAAUAUUCCAGUCUGCAGCUCCCUCGUCACUGAGAACAUCAACCAAAACCUGGCUAUCAGUGAAGAUGGACAUACAUGCUAUUUGGUUUUCCACAGUCCAUUGAACAGCAUCCAAGCAGUCCUUUGCUUCUGCGAGUAGCGGUGAGGAUAGAUGAAGACAAGUAGCUUUAUCUGUUACCUUUUCUUGGUCCAUGUUGAAGCAGACUCACACAAAACCAGCAUUGCAGUCAUCUGCCCUCCAUGAGAAAUCAAUGACAAAAGUCCACAGCCGAUAAUCUGAUGCAUCAGAUAUGGAAUUCACAAGGAUGCAGCUAGUUCUAUCCUGAUCUAUCUUGUCAGAGGAUCCCCUCUAGUGAAAUCCAGAACCAAAGAAGAUCCACGCCAUAUCCUUUGAGACUGGCGGCAUGGGAAGAAAACAUGCUCCAAAGUUUGUGCCUGCUUCCCACAACAUGGGCUUACUGGGUCAAUGAAGACAUUUCAAAGGAAAAGACUGAUUCCAUAACCAUUUCCAAAAGGAGUCAAUGCUCUUGUGGGAUGGUCUAGGAUAUGCUAAUCCAACUGCAUAUAAAUAUCUAGUUUUGACAGUAUAUUCAGAAGACUUGCUAGGACCCCAAACAAUUCUAUCUUUACAUGGCUCCACAGACACGUGUAUGACUGAUGAAUAAUGCAGUCAGCCGGAAAGAACAGGCUUGACAAGUCCAUUCUCCAGCAAUGGUUUUGAGCAUCAAUGAAGUGGGAUAAAGAUAAGGACGAAAAAUAGUUCAAUAGACCCUUUCCACUUUAAUGGAUUAAGUAGAGAGGGAAUCCAUCGAUCCUCCAAAGGGUUAAUCGAUUUGCCAUCCCCACUAUCCAUAGUAAACCAUGUUAAAGGUUGGCUCUGAUUCACUUUGUCAAUAAUAGCUGCUAAUUGAAGACAAAUGAAGAAGCUGGAGAUUUGGGCUAAAGAUUCAGCCGAACUACUCCAUGGUAGAGUGGCUAAUCUUCAAAUCCUGUUGGUGGCUAUCAUAAAUGUUGUUGGUGGCUUGUUGAAAACUUCGGCUCUCCCAUUGCAUCUAUAAAUGGUUAGUAAAUAAGAGAGGUUCUAAUGUGGCAAUCAGAAGAUAGUGUAAGCAGAGUAUAAGCAACUGAGUGAGUGUGAGAAGAGCGAGAGUAUUGUCUCCGCCUCCUCCAUUGUUGUAAUCUAUGUAUUUCUCUCCAUACAGUGAAAUCCGCUGCCCAUGGACAUAGGCGCAUUGCCGAACCACAUAAACCUUGUGUUCCUCU